ensembl:snRNA U6 U6 spliceosomal RNA
GUGUUCACUUUGACAGGAUAUACACUAAAAUUGGAAUGAUAUAGAGAAAAUUAGCAUGGCCCUUAAGCAAGGAAGACAUGCAAAUUUGCGAAGUGUUCCAUAUUUUU